GGGGGUGUAGCUCAGUGGUUGAGCAUCUGCUUCCCGUGUACAAAGUCCCAGGUUCAAUCCCUGGUACCUCCA
rnacentral:tRNA from 1 species